GACGAACGCUGGCGGCGUGCCUAACACAUGCAAGUCGAACGGGGUGAUUCCUUCGGGGAUCGCUUAGUGGCGAACGGGUGAGUAACGCGUGAGAAACCUGCCUUUCAGUGGGGGACAACAGUUGGAAACGAAUGCUAAUACCGCAUAAUGUUUCGAGAGGGCAUCCUUUUGAAACCAAAGCUUUAUGUGCUGAAAAAUGGUCUCGCGUCUGAUUAGCUAGUUGGGGAGGUAACGGCCCACCAAGGCGACGAUCAGUAGCCGGUCUGAGAGGAUGAACGGCCACAUUGGGACUGAGAUACGGCCCAGACGCCUACGGGAGGCAGCAGUGGGGAAUAUUGGGCAAUGGGGGAAACCCUGGCCCAGCAACGCCGCGUGAAGGAAGAAGGCCUUCGGGUUGUAAACUUCUUUUACCAGGGACGAAGAACGUGACGGUACCUGGAGAAAAAGCAACGGCUAACUACGUGCCAGCAGCCGCAGUAACAC
rnacentral:rRNA from 1 species